rnacentral:lncRNA from 1 species
UAAUUAAUCUCAUUUAUUUAUUCAUACACCAUAAUAUCAUAGUUUCUUCAUUCAUCUCAUGAUUUCAAUUUAAAAUUCAUUUUUUUAUACAAAAAAAUGUUAUUAUGAUCAAUGACCGAUAGAUUUGAAAUAUGUGAUGGAAAAUAUAGUCGAUCAAUAUAUAUAUAGCCCUAUCCGGAUGCAUGAGCACUACAAUAGAAUUAGGUUAUAGCGACACAUGUUUGGAACACUUUUGUAUAAGUGUCACAUUUAUACAAAAAACUUAAAAAAAAAUCUACUAAUGCCUAAAUAUAAAGCCCAAUCCAAUCAAAAAUAAAAGGUUACUCUACUUAACCCACCUCAUCCAGCCCAUUCGGCCCAAUUAAAAACAGAAAAGAAAAAAAAGAAAAAGAAAAAUCGAUUAUCAACUCCUCUUUUUCCCUUACUCAAUCCACUGAAAUUCUAGACGAAGAGCCAUUCCCUCUCCUCAUCCUCCGUCACCGCAGCCAACAAGUAGAGUUCCGACGGUAGCUAAAUGCUUAAAUAAGUGUUAGCAAAUUAGCAACACUCUUUUUAGAUUAUACCGACACUCUUUAACUGUCACUAUAUAUCUAUCCACCCUACAUAUAGCAAUACUUUUUAAAAGUGUCGGUAAUUUCGCGAGCAGCAUUUUUUUGAUUUGUACUAAUAUUUAAAAGUAUCGUUAUAGACCGUUUUUGUUGUAGUGGAGUAUCUUAUUAUACAUAUCCAUUCGAUUUACUUACGAAACUUAAUUAUAUUUAAUU